CAGCAGCCGCGGGAAUACAGAGGGUGCAAGCGUUAAUCGGAAUUACUGGGCGUAAAGCGCGCGUAGGUGGUUUGUUAAGUUGGAUGUGAAAUCCCCGGGCUCAACCUGGGAACUGCAUCCAAAACUGGCAAGCUAGAGUAUGGUAGAGGGUGGUGGAAUUUCCUGUGUAGCGGUGAAAUGCGUAGAUAUAGGAAGGAACACCAGUGGCGAAGGCGACCACCUGGACUAAUACUGACACUGAGGUGCGAAAGCGUGGGGAGCAAACAGGAUUAGAUACCCCCGUAGUCCCUGUCUCUUAUAC
rnacentral:rRNA from 1 species